rnacentral:tRNA from 1 species
GCAUCGUUGGUUCAGUGGUAGAAUUCUCACCUUUAAUGAGGGUGACCUGGGUUCGAUUCCCGGCCAAGACA